UACGGGGGGGGCAAGCGUUGUUCGGAAUUACUGGGCGUAAAGGGCUCGUAGGCGGCCAACUAAGUCAGACGUGAAAUCCCUCGGCUUAACCGGGGAACUGCGUCUGAUACUGGAUGGCUUGAGUUUGGGAGAGGGAUGCGGAAUUCCAGGUGUAGUGGUGAAAUGCGUAGAUAUCUGGAGGAACACCGGUGGCGAAGGCGGCAUCCUGGACCAACACUGACGCUGAUGAGCGAAAGCCAGGGGAGCAAACGGG
rnacentral:rRNA from 1 species